rnacentral:rRNA from 1 species
UACGUAGGGUGCAAGCGUUAAUCGGAAUUACUGGGCGUAAAGCGUGCGCAGGCGGCUUUGCAAGACAGAUGUGAAAUCCCCGGGCUCAACCUGGGAACUGCAUUUGUGACUGCAGGGCUUGAGUACGGCAGAGGGGGAUGGAAUUCCGCGUGUAGCAGUGAAAUGCAUAGAUAUGCGGAGGAACACCGAUGGCGAAGGCAGUCCCCUGGGCCUGUACUGACGCUCAUGCACGAAAGCGUGGGGAGCAAACAGG